rnacentral:lncRNA from 1 species
AUGCUCUGGGGACAACUCAGCCUCAUCCCAGGGACUGCACUACGAAGCUCAGGUCUUGGAAAAAUGUCUUUUCCUGAAGGUUGGGGGAAGCUGGCAUUUUUUCUCUCAAGGACCCAUCUUCUUCAUAUGCAGGUCCCAUAUUCCCAGGUGUAUCUCUGGAAAGAACACCACCACUGUGCUGCCACCAUCCUAUGUAUGUCUGAUUUGGGGAUGGGUUGGUGCUGGUGCAUGGAGCCUACAGAGCCUUGAGACAGCUGUCCUCGUUCCAUCCUCCAGAGACAGCGACAAGUAAUUAAUAAAACCUACUUUGUGUGUCUGCCA